rnacentral:rRNA from 1 species
GGACGCGCCCGGUCCCAUUCCGAACCCGGAAGCUAAGCCCUCCAGCGCCGAUGGUACUGCACUCGACAGGGUGUGGGAGAGUAGGACACCGCCGAAC